GAUGAACGCUGGCGGCGUGCCUAAUACAUGCAAGUCGAACGCUGAAGGAAGGAGCUUGCUCUUUCCGGGUGAGUUGCGAACGGGUGAGUAACGCGUAGGUAACCUGCCUGGUAGCGGGGGAUAACUAUUGGAAACGAUAGCUAAUACCGCAUAACAGUAGAUGUUGCAUGAUAUCUACUUAAAAGGUGCAAUUGCACCACUACCAGAUGGACCUGCGUUGUAUUAGCUAGUUGGUGAGGUAACGGCUCACCAAGGCGACGAUACAUAGCCGAACUGAGAGGGUGGGCGGCCACACUGAGACGGAGACACGGCCCAGACGCCUACGGGAGGGAGCAGGAGGGAAACUGGAGCAAUGGACGGAAGUCUGACCGAGAAACGCCGAGGGAGGGAAGAAGGUCUUCGGAUCGUAAAGGUCUGUUGUAAGAGAAGAACGAGUGUGAGAGUGGAAAGUUCACACUGUGACGGUAACUGACCAGAAAGGGACGGCUAACUACGUG
rnacentral:rRNA from 1 species